UGGACGCCUGGGCUGAAGUGCUGCAUCGCCCUCUCCUAAUGGCGGACAGCGCUGUCACUCGUCUCCCUCCGCCCUUCCCAUUGGACGCUGGGCUGAGGCACCGCCUUCGUGUGGGCGGAAGGGGAGGAGCGCAGGAAGGGCAGCAAAAUGGCGGCGCUCAGGAGACGCCUGUGGGGGCGGCCGGGAGAGACCUUGGGGCGGAUGGCGACGGGGGCGGUGCGGGCGGAGGAGCUGGCGGAGCGGCUGCGGGCGAAGCGGAGCGAGGAGGAGAAGCGGCGAGAGGUGGCCGCGCAGCCGGCGCGGAGGCGGGCCCGGGAGUUGGCCGCGCUGCAGCAGGUGCACCCCAACGUGUUGGCCAAGGCGCUGCGGCAGCGAGCCGUGUACCAGGACGAGGAGGUGGUGGUGCUCAACAAGCCCUACGGGCUGCCCGUGCACGGUGGCCCCGGGGUCAAGAACUGUAUUGCUGAUGUACUGCCGAUUUUGGCCAAGAUGCUGGUGAACAUGAAAGCUGAACCACUGCACCUGUGUCAUCGGCUGGACAAGGAGACGACAGGUGUGAUGGUGUUGGCGCGGAGCAAGGAGGCAGCAGACAGGAUCCGGCUCCUCUUCAAAACUCGCCAGGUGGAGAAGAUAUACUGGGCAGUUAGUGUGGGGCACCCAGACCCUGCUGAGGGCAUAGUGGAAAUCCCCAUGGUGGAGAGGGAGGUGCAGAGCCACCAACCUCAUUACAAGAUGACGCUGGCCCCGAACUACCGCAUGUCUCCUGAGGAUGGAAAGGUGCUGAAAAUCCGCAAGAACCGCAGUGCUGAAAGUGCUGUGACGCAGUACCGCGUUCUGGCUAGCUCGUCUGCCUGCUCUCUGCUGGAGCUCCAGCCCAUCACAGGAGUGAAGCACCAGCUCCGGGUUCACCUGGCCUACGGAUUGGGGUGCCCCAUCCUGGGGGAUCAUAAAUACUCACACUGGAGCAAGCUCGCACCACAGAAACUUCCAGAAAUCACUCUGAAGAGGUUGAAGCUGCAGCAGAGCAAGGCUCGCCACCUCCCCCUGCACCUCCAUGCCUACCGCCUCUCCCUGCCGCUUGGCACCAGUGGGAGCAAGCAGAUAGACCUUGUAUGUGAGCCACCCAGCUUCUUCCACAGGACGCUGAGGAAGCUGGAGCUGGACAUUGAUAAGGAGUAGAACGGGGCUUGUCAACAGGAGAGGACGUGUCCGUUGCGUCUCCACGCCUCUAGCACAUGAUAACGCUGGAUCCAGCUGUACUGCAGUGGUGUAGCCAUCACAGCAAGUGGUGUGAUGAGUCCAUGCCUGAUCUGGAGCAGAAAGCUUGGUGGGUGCACUCAAGAGCCUCUUGUUUAUACUGAUGAGGCUCGGUGGAAACUAUGUUCUGAACUUGUCCCUGUGCAAUAAAGAACCCAGCUUCUGCGAAGGUGAAGGUUGUGUGGCUCUCUGUGGUCAGGGGAGGAGGAUCUCAGUGCCUGGGCAAGUUUGAGCACCCGUGAGUGUAACCCCAGUGAGUUCAGGAUCUCCUUGGCUCAGCCCUUCUGUUCUAUCCUACCUUCUGGCACUCAGAUUUGGAGACUCCCUUUGUCUGGAAAAAAAAAAAAAGUGAAAUUUGGCA